rnacentral:rRNA from 1 species
UACAGAGGGGGCAAGCGUUGUUCGGAAUUACUGGGCGUAAAGGGCGCGUAGGCGGCCUGCUAAGUCGAACGUGAAAUCCCCGAGCUCAACUCGGGAACUGCGUCCGAUACUGACAGGCUUGAAUCCGGGAGAGGGAUGCGGAAUUCCAGGUGUAGCGGUGAAAUGCGUAGAUAUCGGGAGGAAUACCAGUGGCGAAGGCGGCCUUCUGGACGGAUACUGACGCUGAGGCGCGAAAGCUAGGGGAGCAAACGGG